AUUGAACGCUGGCGGCAGGCCUAACACAUGCAAGUCGAACGAGUGGCGGACGGGUGAGUAAUGUCUGGGAAACUUCCCGAUGGAGGGGGAUAACUACUGGAAACGGAAGCUAAUACCGCAUACCAUCGGAUGUGCCCAGAUGGGAUUAGCUAGUAGGUGGGGUAACGCCGCACCAAGGCGACGAUCCCUAGCUGGUCUGAGAGGAUGACCGCCACAACUGGAACUGAGAAACGGUCCAGACUCCAACGGGAGGCAGCAGUGGGGAAUAUUGCACAAUGGGGGCAAUCCUGAUGCAGCAAUGCCGCGUGUAUGAAGAAGGCCUUCGGGUUGUAAAGUACUUUCAGCGAGGAGGCGUUACUCGCAGAAGAAGCACCGGCUAACUCCGUGCCAGCAGCCGCGGUAAUUC
rnacentral:rRNA from 1 species